AAAAAAGUGACAGAGUGGUUAUGUGAUUAGCUUGAAACUAAUAGAUGGAGGUUCAAUUCCUCUCUUUUUUU
rnacentral:tRNA from 1 species